GCCUGGCUGGCUUAGUCGGAAGAGCAUGAGACUCUUGAUCUCGGGGGCGUGGGUUCAAGCCCCACGUGGGAUG
rnacentral:tRNA from 1 species